GGAGCUAUGGCUCAGCGGUAGAGCACUUGCCUAGCAAGUGUGAGGCACUGGGUUCAAUUCUCAGUAUCGCAU
rnacentral:tRNA from 1 species